UAGGGGACGAGCGUUGUCCGGAAUUACUGGGCGUAAAGGGCGCGCAGGCUGUGCUGCAAGUCAGCUGUGAAAUAUCUGGGCUUAACCUGGAUAUGCGGUUGAGACUGCAGUGCUGGAGUGCUGUAGAGGCAAGUGGAAUUCCCAGUGUAGCGGUGAAAUGCGUAGAUAUUGGGAAGAACACCGGUGGCGAAGGCGACUUGCUGGGCAGCAACUGACGCUGAGGCGCGAAAGCCAGGGGAGCAAACGGGAUUAGAUACCCCGGUAGUCCUGGCCGUAAACGAUGAAUGCUAGGUGUGGGUGUAGAGAUACAUUCGUGCCGGAGUUAACGCGAUAAGCAUUCCGCCUGGGGAGUACGGUCGCAAGAUUGAAACUCAAAGGAAUU
rnacentral:rRNA from 1 species